rnacentral:rRNA from 1 species
GAGUUUGAUCCUGGCUCAGGAUGAACGCUGGCGGCGUGCCUAAUACAUGCAAGUCGAACGAAACUUCUUUAUCACCGAGUGCUUGCACUCACCGAUAAAGAGUUGAGUGGCGAACGGGUGAGUAACACGUGGGCAACCUGCCCAAAAGAGGGGGAUAACACUUGGAAACAGGUGCUAAUACCGCAUAACCAUAGUUACCGCAUGGUAACUAUGUAAAAGGUGGCUAUGCUACCGCUUUUGGAUGGGCCCGCGGCGCAUUAGCUAGUUGGUGAGGUAAAGGCUUACCAAGGCGAUGAUGCGUAGCCGAACUGAGAGGUUGAUCGGCCACAUUGGGACUGAGACACGGCCCAAACUCCUACGGGAGGCAGCAGUAGGGAAUCUUCCACAAUGGGCGAAAGCCUGAUGGAGCAACGCCGCGUGGGUGAAGAAGGUCUUCGGAUCGUAAAACCCUGUUGUUAGAGAAGAAAGUGCGUGAGAGUAACUGUUCACGUUUCGACGGUAUCUAACCAGAAAGCCACGGCUAACUACGUGCCAGCAGCCGCGGUAAUACGUAGGUGGCAAGCGUUAUCCGGAUUUAUUGGGCGUAAAGGGAACGCAGGCGGUCUUUUAAGUCUGAUGUGAAAGCCUUCGGCUUAACCGAAGUAGUGCAUUGGAAACUGGGAGACUUGAGUGCAGAAGAGGAGAGUGGAACUCCAUGUGUAGCGGUGAAAUGCGUAGAUAUAUGGAAGAACACCAGUGGCGAAAGCGGCUCUCUGGUCUGUAACUGACGCUGAGGUUCGAAAGCGUGGGGAGCAAACAGG